CAGCGGCCGCGUCACGUCCCACGAGCUCAGCUCCGUCGGGGACAGCCUGAGCAGCGCGCGAUGCAGGCGGAAAGAUGCGGGGAGCCCCUUCGUCAGGUGUGCGUAGAGUUUCCGAAACUCCUCGAAUCUGGAGACAUCCGUACCGGAGCGAGCUUUUGAGGGUCCCGGGAAGGCCGGGAGGUGCUCCUGGGCCAAAGACAGGGCACCUCCCGAAGGCAGCCAGCAGAACAUCAACAGCAGCAGCAGCAGCAUUGGUGGUGUGGGUCCAGGCCCAGGCAUGCCUGUGCUAGCUGAGUUCUGAACGGAGACACCGGACGCGGCUGGACUGGCCUUUAUAAUCCCCGGACUUUGUCCGCCCCCGCCUGCCUGGUCCCUUCCGCUCUGGGUGCAGAGUAAACACUCCAGGGACCAUACAUGGCUGAGUCUUGGGCUGCUUUUAAGGGGGAGGCCCUUCUGGGGAGUUCUCCUGGGGAAGUGGGGGACGCCCUCCCCCCAGAAGCCUCUUUGAGCCUCAGUGUCCUCUAUGAAAUGGGGACUUCCUUCCAGCUUGGUGGACUGGUGAAAAGAAUGCUUUUGUCAGAAAAAGACUUAUUUCUAUGUGCUCAAUUCCAUAGCGAGCGCUUAAGAGGAGGCCUUCUCCCUCAUGGGAUUUUCUCUCUCCCUUCCUGGUUAGGGUCAAAGGCUCCAGAUGUUGAAAACCAAAGGAAGCAGAGGAGAAAGAGCCAGGAGGUACAACCUUAGGUAAGUCAUUCCCCUUCAUCCCACUUCUGUUUCUUCAUCCGGAAAACAAGAACUGAGACUUUCACUGGAGAGAAGUUCAAAUGGGGCACAAACGACAGGGCCAGACCCAUAGGAGGUUGUGUGAUUGA